ensembl:snRNA
GUGUUGUAUGAAAGGAUGGAAGAGGCCCUUGGGCCUGAAAAUACGCAUACGGUUAAGGCAUUGCCACGUACUUUGUGGCAUCGUUUUUGC